AAAAAAAAAAAAAAAAAAAAAAAAAAAAAAAAAAAAAAAAAAACGGGUCAAACCAAUUUCAUUCUCCCUCUCUCGCUCGCCUCUCUCUGCGACAGAAACCCUAAUCUCCCCUUCUCGGGAGCUUCCUUCGUCUCACUACAAUCAAUUAGAGGUGAGAGCAGCAAUUACCAACAAAGCUAAUAAUAAGCCUUAGUAUAUGGAUAUCCAUAUGUCUGGGUCAGAUGAAGAAAGUGACGAUGAUAGUUAUUUCAAUAAGAUAUUCAUUACUCAUCAAGGUGAUGAUCAUGAAGAGGAAGAGAGUCAACCACAUAUGAUUGAUGUUUCUCAUAAUGGGAUGGAAGAGACUCAACACUCGAUCGAAUUACAAUUGUUCAACCGUUCAAGUUACAAAUGAGUGGACUAGAUUUAAGGAUACUCUAGUUGAAGCUAUGUUUCUCCAUUAUCAAAAUAGGCGUAGCUUUUAGGAUCGUUCUUAUGAAACUAUUGUAAUCACUUGUUACUUAUGGUUUGCUUCUUGUUUUGUUACUCAUUAUUAUCACCAUUUAUAUCUAUGUAUUGUUUUUCCUUGUUUUA